rnacentral:rRNA from 1 species
GACGAACGCUGGCGGCGUGCUUAACACAUGCAAGUCGAACGGUAAGGCCCUUCGGGGUACACGAGUGGCGAACGGGUGAGUAACACGUGGGUGAUCUGCCCUGCACUUCGGGAUAAGCCUGGGAAACUGGGUCUAAUACCGGAUAGGACCCUGGGAUGCAUGUCCUGGGGUGGAAAGCUUUUGCGGUGUGGGAUGGGCCCGCGGCCUAUCAGCUUGUUGGUGGGGUGAUGGCCUACCAAGGCGACGACGGGUAGCCGGCCUGAGAGGGUGACCGGCCACACUGGGACUGAGAUACGGCCCAGACUCCUACGGGAGGCAGCAGUGGGGAAUAUCGCACAAUGGGCGCAAGCCUGAUGCAGCGACGCCGCGUGAGGGAUGACGGCCUUCGGGUUGUAAACCUCUUUCAGCACCGACGAAGCGCAAGUGACGGUAGGUGCAGAAGAAGGACCGGCCAACUACGUGCCAGCAGCCGCGGUAACAC